rnacentral:rRNA from 1 species
AUGUCCUGUGUGAAUAAAAAUAUUUAGUUUGACCUGCCCACUGAAGUUUUGAAGGGCUGCGGUAAUUUGACCGUGCAAAGGUAGCAUAAUCAAUAGUCUUUUAAUUGGAGGCUUGAAUGAAAGGUUUGACGGAGGAAAAGCUGUCUAGGUAAUUGAAGUUGAAUUUAACAUUUGUGUGAAAAGGCAUUAAUGAUUUAGGGGGACGAUAAGACCCUAUAAAACUUUACAUAUUUAUAUUUUUUAAUUGAAUUGGUAAAUAAUUAUUAAAUGGUUAGUUGUGUUUUGCUGGGGCGGCAGAAAUAUAAUUUUAACUGUUUUAGUUAUUAAAUAUUUAUAAAUAGAAAAUGUUCCUUAAUUUAAGAGCUAAGAGUAAGUUACUUUAGGGAUAACAGCAUAAUUUCUUCUGAGAGUUCUUAUCGAAGAUGGUAGUUGUGACCUCGAUGUUGAAUUAAAUUUUCUUUUAGGUGUAGAAGUUUAAAGGGAAGGCCCUGUUCGGCCCUAUAAAUAUUAU